rnacentral:sRNA from 1 species
ACGUAUUUACCACCAAAUUGUCAAUACAGAAGGGUAAUGUGUUGACAGAAAGAUGGCAACAUAGCUACAGAAAAAAUUACCCUAUAUCCAGAUUUUAUUAAGGCUUCGUAAGUGUCUUGGGUACUGGAAUUGGAGUCCGAGAGGAAUCUACCAGCGGUGAGGGAGGGACCCGUUUCAUCUCCAGAAAUGUGCCUACUCCGCGAUGCAGACGACGCAGACGUGUUUCCCAUUAUACAGGUUUGGAAAGUGAACCACCGAUAUCAAUGAAGAGGAAUCAAUGCGGUGAUGACGACAACACUUCCUCCGAGUCAAUGUUCGGACGAGGAAUCACCUUGCUGAAAUGCUGACAUGUGCUUCAAAAAAUUAAGUUGAUUGAUUCGAUGUGAUUCACAGAACGAUGAGUUAAAAACGAAUGUACUUCUGCUAAAUCAUUUUCUUUUCUUCUCUUUUAUAUAUCCAUUUCACAAUCUUCGGUUCCAGAGUGUCAAAAUUAAAUGACAUAUAAUAAUG